rnacentral:pre_miRNA from 1 species
UUUGUUCACUGCAGAGUGAAUGUGCUCUAGAAUCCAGGUAUAAUCCCACUGGGUUCUAGCACAUUGUCUUUGUAGGGUACAGA